rnacentral:rRNA from 1 species
UACGUAGGGUGCGAGCGUUAAUCGGAAUUACUGGGCGUAAAGCGUGCGCAGGCGGUUUUGUAAGACAGAUGUGAAAUCCCCGGGCUUAACCUGGGACCUGCAUUUGUGACUGCAAAGCUAGAGUACGGUAGAGGAGACUGGAAUUCCUGGUGUAGCGGUGAAAUGCGCAGAUAUCAGGAAGAACACCAAUGGCGAAGGCAGCUCUCUGGGACGGUACUGACGCUGAGACGCGAAAGCGUGGGGAGCGAACAGG